rnacentral:lncRNA from 10 species
GUCAGACGGGCCCUUGACUUGCAGCUUCAGCUUCCACAUUUAACCCUGCUUUGUUUAAUCCUUGGGGUGUAACACGUUUGUCGUUACAGGACAUGUUUGUCAUAUGUUUGUCACACGUUUGUCAAAGGACGUCUGCUUAUUCCAUAACUGUGAUGUCUUUCCUUUGGGCCCUAAGCUCUCAGUACUUUUCUUGUCCCAGGGUCUGAGAUCCGGCAGCACUUUUCGGAGUGAGACUUUAUUACAGCUAUUACCACACGGUUUUGUGUGUCAGUAAUUCAGAAGUAACUUAGCUGGGUGAUUCCGACUUGGUGUUUCUCAUGAAGGUGCAGUCAUCUGAAGACUUGACUGGGGCUGAAGGAUCCAUUUCCAAGAUGGCUCACUUAUGUGCCUGGCAAGUAGGUAUUGGCUGUUGGCAGGAGGCCUCAGUUCCUCCCCAUAUGGGCAUCUCUAUAAGCUGUUUGAGUGUCCUCAUAACAUGGCAGCUGGCUUCCCCUAGAAUGGGCAAUGUAAGAGAGAGCAAGGUGGAAGUCACAAUGCUUUUAACACUCAGUCUCAGAAAGCACACCCCAUCAUUUCUGCAAUAUCCCUUAGUAACACAGGUCUGCCCUAUGCAUUGUAGGAGGAGAUUACACAAAAGCACAAAUAUUGACAGGUAAAGAUCAUUGAGGUCCAUCCUGAAGGCUGGCUAUGCUAGUCUACACUAGUCUACACUCUGGCUCCCAAAGGUUCAUGUCCUUCACAAAUGCAAAUCUGUUCAACCCUCCCAAGGGACUCAAAAGUCUCAUCCCAUUACAAAAUCAGCUUGAAGUCCAGAAUCUUGUCAUCUAAAACAGGCCUCCAGGUGAGGUUCUUCUGGACUAAUUCCUAUGUACAGCUCCUUGAGUAGCUCUUCUUGAUCUGAAGACCUAUGAACUAAAAAGAGAACUCAUAUUCCCUGUCCUACUCCUCCAUCACCAACAUACAAUGAUGAGAUGUGGGAAAAGCAUAGGAUUACCUCUACAAAUAUUUCUAUUCACAAAAAGAGAGAGGUCUGCCGGGCAUGAUGGCUCACACCUGUAAUCCCAGAACUUUGGGAGGCCAAGGCAGACGGAUCACCUGAGGUCAGAAGUUCGAGACCAGCCUGACCAACAUGGAGAAACCCCGUCUCUACUAAAAAUACAAAAUUAGCUGGGCGUGGUGGCACAUGCCUGUAAUCCCAGCUACUUGGGAGGCUGAGGCAGGAGAAUUGCUUGAAUGUGGGAGGCAAAGGUUGCAGUGAGCCAAGAUCAUGCCUUUGCACUCUAGCCUGGGCAAGAAGAGCAAAACUCUGUCUCAAAAAAAAAGGCCAGGUGCAGUGGCUCAUGCCUGUAAUCCCAGCACGUUGGGAGGUCGAGGUGGGCAGAUCAUGAGAUCAGGAGAUCAAGACCAUCCUGGCUAACACGGUGAAAACCCGUCUCUACUAAAAACACACAAAAAAAUUAGCCGGGCAUGGUGACAGGGUCCCGCUACUUGGUAGGCUGAGGCAGGAGAAUGGCAUGAACCCAGGAGGCAGAGCUUGCAGUGAGCCAAGAUUGCACCACUGCACUCCAGCCUGGGCAGCAGAGCUAGACUCCGUCUCGGAAAAAAAAAAAAAAAAAAAAAAAGAGAGGUCCCUGGGGGCAGGGAAAAAAAAGGAUAAAUAAACAUAGGAAGUAGUCUCUAUUCUAUAGAAAAAUACUGAAGGAUACAGGUUGGCUGUUCCUUGAGUAGAGCUCAGGAUCUGAGCAUAAUUUCUCAUAGCUCUUGGCCCCAGCUUUGGGCUCUUUGUGCUCUGCCCUCUGAGCCACCUUUCCUUUUUAUAGAAAGGCUCAUGCUUGCAGCUGUGUUGUUUUCUCAGCCUGCUUUUGCUGCAGAAGUGUGGGGGUCAAGACUGGGCAUGGUGGCUCAUGCCUGUAAUCCCAGCACUAUGGGAGGCCGAGGCAGGUGGAUCACUUGAGGUCAGGAGUUCAAGACCAGCCUGGGCAACAUUGUGAAACCCCGUCUCUACUAAAUAUACAAAAAUGAGCCAGGCAUGGUGACACACGCCUGUAAUCCCAGCUACUGGGGAGUAUGAGGUGGGAGAAUCACUUGAACCUAGGAGGUAGAGGCUGCAGUGAGCCAAGAUCAUGCCACUGCACUCCAGCCUGGGUGACAGGGUGUGAGGCUCCAUCUGAAAAAAAAAAAAAAAAAAAAAAAAAAAAAAAAGUUUGGGGGUCCAAAAACUUCUUCUUAUUUUGUAUUCCCUCUAUCUGUUUCAAUACAAGCUGGUAGCAUUUCUGCCAAUACAAUUUUCUUAAAACUUUUGCGAAUCUCCAUUAAAUCUUAUUGGGGUUCACUCAAUUAGAUAAAAGUUGUACUCACAAAUCUCUUUGAGAUAAACUCUUUUCUAACUCAGGCUUCAGUUUAGACUGCUGAGGGGCAACACUCAUAAGCUUCUUCUUUUUUUUUUUUUUUUGAUGGAGUCUCGCUCUGUCACCCAGGCUGUAGUGCAGUGGCGCAGUCUCGGCUCACUGCAACCUCUGCCUCCUGGGUUCAAGUGAUUCUCCUGCCUCAGCCUCCUGAGUAGCUGGAACUACCAGUGCCUGCCACUAUGCCUGGCUAAUUUUUGUAUUUUUAGUAGAGACAGGGUUUCACCAUAUUGGCCAGGCUGGUCUCGAACUCCUGACCUUGUGAUCUGCCCGCCUUGGCCUCCGGAAGUGCUGGGAUUACAGGCAUGAGCCACCGCGCCCAGCCAUAGCUUCUUUUUAAAAUUUUUUAGAGACAGGAUCUUUCUCUGUCACACAGGUUAGAGUACAAUAAUACAAUCAUAGCUCACUGCAGUGUAGAACUCCUGGGUUCAAGUUAUUCUCCUGCCUCAUCCUCUGGAGUAGCUAUGACUACAGGUGCAUACUUUCAUGCCCACUAUUUUAUUUUUAUUUUUAUUUUUAUUUUUUUGAGACGGAGUCUCACUCUCUUGCCCAGGCUGUAGUGCAGUGGCGUGAUCUUGGCUCACUGUAACCUCCACCACCUGGGUUCAAGCAAUUCUCCUGCCUUAGCCUUCCGAGUAGCUGGGAUUACAGGCAUGUGCCACCACGCCCGGCUAAUUUUUUUGUAUUUUUAGUAGAGACAGUGUUUCACUAUAUUGGCCAGGCUGGUCAUGAACUCCUGACCUUGUGAUCCGCCUGCCUUGGACUCCCAAAGUGCUGGGAG